UGAAAGACGAUGGUAGUGAGAUGCAAAACGUUUGCCGUUCAUCUCCCUACCCCGUCUUUUCUG
rnacentral:pre_miRNA from 1 species